AUACGUAGGUGGCAAGCGUUGUCCGGAAUUAUUGGGCGUAAAGCGCGCGCAGGUGGUUCCUUAAGUCUGAUGUGAAAGCCCCCGGUUCAACCGGGGAGGGUCAUUGGAAACUGGGGAACUUGAGUGCAGAAGAGGAUAGUGGAAUUCCAAGUGUAGCGGUGAAAUGCGUAGAGAUUUGGAGGAACACCAGUGGCGAAGGCGACUGUCUGGUCUGUAACUGACACUGAGGCGCGAAAGCGUGGGGAGCAAACAGGAUUAGAUACCCUGGUAGUCCACGCCGUAAACGAUGAGUGCUAAGUGUUGGGGGGUUUCCGCCCCUCAGUGCUGCAGCUAACGCAUUAAGCACUCCGCCUGGGGAGUACGGUCGCAAGACUGAAACUCAAAGGAAUUGACGGG
rnacentral:rRNA from 1 species